GAGAGAGAUGAUGCUAAAAAAAGGUCAUUAAGCUGUUUUCUCCUUCCAAAAUUGACCCUCGCUGCUAUUCAUUCAUUUUCUUUUUCUUUUGAGGAAGCUCUGAGGGAAAAAAAGGUGUGGAAAAAGAAGAACAAGGGGUGGACAACGUAACGAAGGAAGCGCGAUGUGAUAGGGGAGAGGAAUGAAAUGACAAGUUAAAAAAGUUAAAAAGAGGAUGAGGAAAAAGUAAAUAGAAGGAAGGCAGAAAAGGAGUGAAGAAAGGAAGACCAAGAAGCGGCCAUUACAAAAGGAAGGAAAGGAGGGAUGAAAGAAAGGAGAGAAAUGGAUGUAGGGAAAGACAUGAAAGGAGGGGAAAAGGAGAUAAACUAAGAUAGAAAGGCAGAAAGUGAGUAAGAAAGGAAGACCAAGAAGCGGCCAUUACACAAGGAAGGAAAGGAGGGAUGAAAGAAAGGAGGAGAGAAAUGGAUGUAGGAAAAGACGUGAAAGGCUGGGAAAAAGAUAAAAACUAAGACAGAAAGGCAGAAAGUGAGUAAGAAAGGAAGACCAGGAAGCGGCCAUUACACAAGGAAGGAAAGGAGGGAUGAAAGGAAGGAGAGAAAUGGAUAUAGGGAAAGACAUGAAAGGUUGGGAAAAAGACAAAAACUAAGAUAUAAAGCCAGAAAGCGUGUUGAAAUAGUCGAUGUGAGUUCCAGGAGCGUCUGACAACACCAACCUUAGUAUGCAGGAGUGGUCGGGGAGGGAGAGGGAGGGAAAUAAGGGAACUAAGAGGUAAUGAAGCGAGCGAAGUUAGUUUAAGUAAGGGCCGGGGUGGAAGGUAAGAGGUUGAAGUUAUUGAGAGAAGCGUUGGGUUAAUACUCAGAGGGGAAGGAGCAGGAAGUGAAGAGAAGGAGGGAAGUAAGGAAUGGAGGAAGGAAUAGAAGGAAAGGGGCGGAGAAAGGAAACAAGGAAACGAAAGUAGGAAUGAAGGAGAGGUGAAAAGAUAGGAAGGAGGGAAGUAAGGAAUGGAGGAAGGAAUAGAAGGAAAGGGGCGGAGAGAGGAAAGGAAGGAACGAAAGUAGGAAUGAAGGAGAGGCGAAAAGAUAGGAAGGAGCGGGAAGCGAGGAAGAGAAGGAAAGGAAGGAAAGGCGAGGAAAAAAGAAGUAAAGGAGAUUAAAAAAGGAGAGGAACGGGAAGCGAAAAAGAGAAGGAAAGGAAGGAAAGGAGAGGAAAAAAAAGUAAAGGAAAUUAAAAAAAAAGAAGAAAAGGAGCGGGAAACGAAGAAAAGGAAAGGAGCAAGGAAGGAAAGAAGUAAAUAAGGAAGAAAAAAAAGCAGGGCAAGGGAGAAGAAAGGAGCGAAGAAAAGAAAGGAAGGAGCGGAAAAGUAACGAAGAAAGGAAGGAACAACAGGGAGGAAAGUAACGAAGAAGAGACAGAAAGAAAAGGAAAUUAAAGAAACGGGAAGCGAAGAAGAGGAAAAGAUAAGAAGCUGAAAAGAACUGAAGAACGAAAGGGAAUUAACACAAGAAACAAGAAAGAGAAGGAAAAAAAACAA